GACAGAGGUGCCAAGCGUUAGGCGGAAUCACUGGGCUUAAAGCGUGUGUAGGUGGAUUUGUAAGUACCUUGUGAAAUCCCAUGGCUCAACCAUGGAACUGCUCGGUAUACUGCGAAUCUUGAGCCACUUAGGGGCUACCGGAACAAAUGGUGGAGCGGUGAAAUGCGUAGAUAUCAUUUGGAACGCCAAUGGUGAAAACAGGUAGCUGGGAGUGUGCUGACACUGAGACACGAAAGCCAGGGGAGCAAACGGG
rnacentral:rRNA from 1 species